CAAUUAUUCUUUGCAACUUAGAAAUGAUAUUUUCUCCAUCGUUCUUCGAUUCAAUGGAGCAUCUUUUAGUUCACUUGCCUUAUGAGACCAAAGUUGCAGGUCCCGUCCAAUUUCGAUGGAUGUAUCCAUUUGAGAGGUUCUUAUAUCAUUUGAAGAAAAAAGUGAAGAAUAAGGCAUGUGUCGAAGCUUCAAUUUGUAAUGCAUAUAUUGUGGAAGAAGUGACAACAUUUGCAUCAUACUAUUUUGAGCCGCACGUGCAAUGCAAGAGGCGGAGAGCUGGAAGAAAUGAUGAGGGUCCCAUUGAUCCCAAUUGCAAAUCAUUCUCUAUUUUCAAUUAUUUGGGUUGACCUAGCGGCACAUGUAAGUUUCGUCACUUAACAGGCGAAGAAAAGCUGGCAGCCCAUACAUAUAUUCUAUUGAACUGUCCAGAAGUUGAGCCAUACUUCGAGAAUUUCCGAAAUGCAAUGUAUGGACUACCACCAAAUGAGUUUGACCGUUUGUGCCAGGAACAAUUUGCAACAUGGUUCAAAACAUAUGUUCACAGUAUUGAUGCUCAAGUUGGACAUCAAGGAAUGCUAUAUCAUCUAUCGUGGGGUCCAAAGUCAAGAGUAUGAACUUGGCCAGCAUAUUUCAUUAACGGGUAUAAUUUUCACACUCGCGAAUAUGGAAUGGGAAAGGCUACAAUGAAUAGUGGGGUGUGUGUUCAGUCAUCCAAUGGUGGCAAUUCGCAAGGUGAUUUCUAUGGCUUGUUGGAUGAAAUCAUAGAGAUUGAGUACCAUGGACAGUUAAUGCAGGUUGUCUUAUUUAAGUGCAUGUGGUUCGACCCCGUGAAAGGAAUGAAUGUACAUACCAAAUUUAAUUUGGUUGAAAUAAAUCACAAGAAAAGAUAUAUGAAAUAUGAACAAUUUGUCUUGGCACAACAAGCAAUUCAAGUCUAUUAUGCAUCAUAUCCUAGUUUGAAGCGUGACAAAGCCGAUUGGUGGGCUGUAUGUAAAACCAAAGCAAGAAAGAAAAUCGAGGAACACUGGAAGGACACGGCAUAUCAACAAGAGGAAGUUCGUAACAUCAAUGAAAUAGCUGAAUACAACAUUCCUACUUUACGAGAUCCAUGUGGUGCGAUGAUCGAUGUAGAUCCAACUGAAAUUCGGGAAUCAAAUUUUCAAGUUGGUACACAAUGUGAUUUUGAGACAGAGGAUGAAGAUGAUGAUCAGGAAGAAGAUGAAGAUGAAGAUGAUGACGAAGAAGAA